GAGGAGGUGAUCAGCAAAUGUUUGUUGAAAAGGUUUGACAGGUCAGUCCCUUCCCACCCCUCUUGCUUGUCUUACUUGUCUUAUUUAUUCUCCAACAGCACUCCAGGCAGCCCUUGUCCACGGGCUCUCCUUGCAUCAGAGACUGGCAGGAGCUUUUACCAGUGGUUUUUACAUCCUUAAUGUUCAGGACGAAUAAUUUAUGGUCAGUGAAAAUCCAGGCCCCAGUGAGAUUCGAGUGGGCUGUAAAAUCGAGAGUCCUGCUCCCAGCACGUGGGCCGUGGCCCGGCUGGGUCGGCUGAAGAACUGCGGAUGGAAGCUGCGGAAGAGGCCCUGAUGGGGCCCACCAUCCCGGACCCAAGUCUUCUUCCUGGCGGGCCUCUCGUCUCCUUCCUGGUUUGGGCGGAAGCCAUCACCUGGAUGCCUACGUGGGAAGGGACCUCGAAUGUGGGACCCCAGCCCCU
ensembl:lncRNA MEG3 maternally expressed 3